CUAAGGAAUAUUACGGAAAUACACAUUUCGUCUUUACUUUGUUCAGUUUUGAGAGGUCUACUCUCAAAACAUUCGUUCAUUGAAAACUGGAUAUUGAAGUAAAAAGAAUCAAAACAAACCGAGAACACCGCGUUGAAUGAGUUUUUUAAUAAGUUCAAUUGCUUAUUUAUUGAUUAACCUUCUAUCGCUAGAAGAAGUGAUCAAGACCCAACCGUAAGGUUGAUAA
rnacentral:misc_RNA from 1 species